rnacentral:rRNA from 1 species
UACGUAGGGGGCGAGCGUUGUCCGGAUUCAUUGGGCGUAAAGCGCGCGUAGGCGGCUCCGCAAGUCGGCCGUGAAAUCUCCGGGCUCAACUCGGAGGGGUCGGGCGAGACUGCGGGGCUCGAGGUGGGCAGAGGGCAGUGGAAUUCCGGGUGUAGUGGUGGAAUGCGUAGAGAUCCGGAGGAACACCAGUGGCGAAGGCGGCUGCCUGGGCCUGGCCUGACGCUGAGGCGCGAAAGCGUGGGGGAGCAAUCCGG